rnacentral:misc_RNA from 1 species
GAUGAAGAACGCAGCGAAAUGCGAUAAGUAGUGUGAAUUGCAGAAUUCAGUGAAUCAUCGAAUCUUUGAACGCACAUUGUGCCCUUUGGUAUUCCUUAGGGCAUGCCUGUUCGAGCGUCAUUUAAACCUUCAAGCUAAGCUUGGUGUUGGGUGACUGUCCGCUUCACGGCGGACUCGCCUCAAAAUUAUUGGCGGCCGGUACAUUGGCUUCGAGCGCAGCAGAAACGCGAACUCGGGCCCGUCGUAUUGGCUCCCAGAAGCUAUCUUCACAAUUUUGACCUCGGAUCAGGUAGGGAUACCCGCUGAACUUAAGCAUAUCAAUAAGCGGAGGA